rnacentral:lncRNA from 10 species
AGCAGAGGAGAGCGCCAGGACGCUACAGCGGCUGAAGAGGCAGUGGCGCCCGCGGCCGCAGCGUCGGGGCUGGAGCGAUGGCGGCGACCGCGGUGGCGGCGGCUGUGGCGGGAACCGAGUCGGCCCAGGGUCCCCCGGGCCCGGCAGCGUCGCUGGAGCUGUGGCUCAACAAAGCCACAGACCCAAGCAUGUCGGAACAGGAUUGGUCAGCUAUCCAGAAUUUCUGUGAGCAGGUGAACACUGACCCCAAUGGGUAAGCCCCACACAUGCGCCCUGGCUACUGGCCCACAAGAUCCAGUCUCCGCAAGAGAAGGAAGCUCUUUAUGCCUUAACGUGUCCUCAUAGGCUUGAGGCAGGGUUAGCCUUGGUUCCAGCGCAGUCUCCAGCAAGUGAUUACCAGCCUGGAGGGGAGCCUGGGACCACUGGCUUUCCACCUUCUCCUGGGGGUCCUGUGUCUGUGCAGGUGCUGGAGAUGUGCAUGAACCACUGUGGGGAGAAGUUCCACAGCGAGGUGGCCAAAUUUCGUUUCCUGAACGAACUGAUCAAAGUGUUGUCCCCAAAGUACCUGGGGUCCUGGGCCACAGGA